rnacentral:rRNA from 1 species
CCUACGGGAGGCAGCAGUGGGGAAUAUUGGGCAAUGGAGGAAACUCUGACCCAGCAACGCCGCGUGAAUGAUGAAGGUCUUCGGAUUGUAAAGUUCUUUUCUAAGGGAAGAAGAAAGUGACGGUACCUUAGGAAUAAGCCUCGGCUAACUACGUGCCAGCAGCCGCGUUAAUACGGAGGAUGCGAGCGUUAUCCGGAUUUAUUGGGUUUAAAGGGUGCGUAGGCGGACGCUUAAGUCAGCGGUAAAAUUGCGGGGCUCAACCUCGUCGAGCCGUUGAAACUGGGUGCCUUGAGUGGGCGAGAAGUACGCGGAAUGCGUGGUGUAGCGGUGAAAUGCAUAGAUAUCACGCAGAACUCCGAUUGCGAAGGCAGCGUACCGGCGCCCAACUGACGCUGAAGCACGAAGGCGUGGGUAUCGAACAGGAUUAGAUACCCCGGGUAGUC